UACAGCAAUACCUAGAAAAGUGUUUGAUUGAAUAGCUGGACACUGUGGCAGUUAUCAUCUGAACUUGUUACCCCAAAAUUCAUAUGUUGAAACGUAACCCCCAGGGUGAUGUUGUUAGGAGGUGGUUCCUUUAAGAGGUGAUUGGGUCAUGGGGGCAGAACGCUCACGAAGGGGAUUAGUGCCCUUAUAAAGGAGGACUGAGGCCUCUCACUUGGUGCUUCUACCAUGGGAGGAUACGAGGAGGAAUCUGCGACUCAGACGAAGCCUUCACCUGAGCAUCCUGACACCCUGAUCUCAGAACUAUGAGAAUUGUAGGUCCUUCCAGUUCUUCCACAUGGAAUGCUGCCUCAGCAUGGCUCGAUGAGCAGUGCCAGGUCGACGCCCAGGAUCCAAACUGGAAUAAAGCCCUUUAUCCAGAAGCUGGCAGGAAAAGAAGCCCUGUGUUCUUGGAGAUGACACUGUGGAGUUUCCAUCUUGCUGAGCUGGGAGGUAGAAGAAUGGAGUUGGGUCCCUGCCCACAUAACCAUCCACUGACUUGGAAUGCUCAAUUUGGACUGUUUCAAGGGAACUGGAGCAGAGGCAUGAGACUCAGGGGUACUGCUCACUGCAGAAGAAGAGACAGCUGCAUUCCAAAAAACAGAGAUAUGAAGUGAAAUUCAGCACAUGGAAUGGCUUUAAAUUUUUGAUACUGGAUCAAGGAUGGCAGCGCGUUAUAAAACAGCUGAACAAGGAAGCAAGACAUGAGAGCAGACUAGUAAAGAGAGAUAUUAAUGGGAUCACAAUGAAGCAGAGAUCACAAAAGUAAACAAAAUCCAGAGAACAUAAAAUUGGAGUUCCGAGUCUGGGGGGAGAUCUAUGUGAAUAAUCACCAGCCAGAAAUCUGCAAGACCGAAGGAUCAAGAAGAAUGGCCAAGCAAAGCAGUCUCUGGUCAAAGUCCAAAGAACUAACAGAAAUUUGCAUUGCGCUAACACUGGGAAGUGAGGGACACUGCGAAGAGCUUCCCCAUAGAAUUUAGAAGACCUCAUUUACUCUGUAUUCUCGCCCACCUCCACCUGUGGCAACCUGAGCUAAAGACGGCUAAUAGAAUAGGAGUUUAAGAACCUUGGCAAAGUUAUUUUUUCCCUCUGACAUCACAUAUAUAUGGUCGCAUAUAUGUACGUCACCACAUGACAUAUAAUUAAUUAUAUUCAUAAUUAAUAGAACUAGCAUUCACAUAGCACUUGUCAUGAUUCUGACAUCUAAACAGUGGUAGUUCUUCAUGUUUCUAGACCAGAGUUGUUGUUCUAUGUUAGAGGCAAAGACCAUGACAAUUCACUUGCUUUGUCUGGCACUGAUGGAUAAGUACUUCUGACAAUACUGUUAAACAAACUUGGUGAUUUAAAAUUCAUGUGUUCAAAUAUUUAUAAAGUAGGAGGUAGAGAUAAAAAAAUUUAUGAAAAGGUCAAUUUUUAACUAUUAAAUUUACAAAAACUACAAAUGUUAAUGCACAGUCCUUUAUACAAGGAAUAAUUGAAGGAGAAGCAGCCUAGUAAAUUCAAUAUGCGUGGCUUACAAUAGUCAAAAAAUUUAGAAUCAUCUUAAAUGCUCAAUAGUAUCAAGACUAUUAUCAUUUUAAAUAUGUUGUAGCAACAUGAUAGAAUUUAUAUAUAGUAACUUAAGAAAAGGGCAAGAUAAAAAUGAUACACUAAAAUCGCAAAUGUUAAAAUAUAUAGCCAUAAAACCUAAAGAGACUGUACAUACCUGUUGGUAAAUGACAAUGUAUAUGAUUUUUCUCUUCUUUUAAACUUCAUGUAAUGCUAUAUAUGGUUUUAAAUAGACAUGGGAUUAAUAAAUCUUAUUUAUUAAUUUGUAUUAUUUCAGUAAUAUCUGGGAAACCUGCAAGAUAAAUAUUGUUAUCUCCACUAAAAUAGGAGGAAGAGAAGAAAGAGGAGGAGGAGGAGGAGGACGACGAGGAGGAAAUGAUGGUUAAACUGGUCACACAAUUAUUAGGUAGAAGAUUCAGAUUUGAGACGUGAUUGGUCUGCCUCGGAAACUUACCACCUUUACUCUAUGUUAUGCUUUCUCCGUGCUACCUUCACGCCUUAGAGCCCCAUACAAUUUUUUUCCAGGGCACAACCUUUCAUUUCUGAUGGAGAAUGGUAAGUAGACAUAAUUCAUGAUAAUUCAGCAUUGGCUGAAUGCAAAAGCCUUCAAACCUUCCCAAGUUUCCCUCACUCACUCCCGAUACAGGCCUCAAGUUCUUCCUCGUGAAAGCAUUUCUAUUUCUUGAUAGAACUAAACGGCAUCCCCCAAAUUUAGUCUUUUUCUAUCAGUGAAAUUUUAAAAAUUGGAUGGAGAAAGUGGGUUCUCUCAAAAUCUGUAUUCUCAUACUGAAAUAUAUGUUCUUAAUUUUGAAAUAAUGUUAGAUGUAUAAGUUGCAAAAAUAGUACAGAGGUUUCUGAAUAUCUAUCAGCUUCUGCUAAGCUUAACAUCUGACAUACAAUACAUAGUAAAAUUAUCAAUACCAGGAAAUUAACAUUGAUACAAUCUUAUUAAUUAAAUUAUAGAUCAUAUUCAAAUUUCACCAGUUUUUCCACUAAUGUCCUCUUUCUGUUUCGGGAUACAAUCCAGGAUUCCACAUUGCAUCUUUUUAAAUUUCCCCUUAAUCUUUUCCAAUCUGUAACAGUUCCUUAGUCUUUCCUUAUUUUUUAUGACCUUGGCACUUAUGAGUAGUACUACUGAUUAGUUAUUUUGUAGGAUGUCCUUUAAUUUGGGUUUGUCUACUGUUUUCUCACGAUUGGACUGAGGUUAUGAAUGUUUGGUAUAAAUGCCACAGAAAAGACAUUGAGAAUGACACACAUUUCUCAAUGUAUUGUAUCAAAAAUAACAUCUGUGUGUCUUUUUACUGUCGCUGUUUAUCUUGAUCACUUGGUUUAAACGUUUGCUUAGCUACUAUCUUUCCAUUUGCAGUUAAUAAAUAUCUUGGAGUAAAUGCUUUGAA
rnacentral:lncRNA from 1 species